GACAGCAGUAGCCACGGGAAUACGAAGGGGGCUAGCGUUGCUCGGAAUUACUGGGCGUAAAGGGAGCGUAGGCGGAUAGUUAAGUUGGGGGUGAAAGCCCGGGGCUCAACCUCGGAAUUGCCUUCAAUACUGGCUAUCUAGAGUAUGGGAGAGGUAUGUGGAACUCCGAGUGUAGAGGUGAAAUUCGUAGAUAUUCGGAAGAACACCAGUGGCGAAGGCGACAUACUGGUCCAUUACUGACGCUGAGUCUCGAAAGCGUGGGGAGCAAACAGGAUUAGAUACCCCUGUAGUCCCUGUCUCUUAUAC
rnacentral:rRNA from 1 species